UACGAAGGUGGCAAGCGUUGUUCGGAUUUACUGGGCGUACAGGGAGCGUAGGCGGUUGGAUAAGCCCUCCGUGAAAUCUCCAGGCUUAACCUGGAAAGUGCAGAGGGGACUGUUCAGCUAGAGGAUGGGAGAGGAGCGCGGAAUUCCCGGUGUAGCGGUGAAAUGCGUAGAGAUCGGGAGGAAGGCCGGUGGCGAAGGCGGCGCUCUGGAACAUUUCUGACGCUGAGGCUCGGAAAGCGUGGGGAGCAAACA
rnacentral:rRNA from 1 species